GACGAACGCUGGCGGCGUGCUUAACACAUGCAAGUCGAACGGAAAGGCCCUGCUUUUGUGGGGUGCUCGAGUGGCGAACGGGUGAGUAACACGUGAGUAACCUGCCCUUGACUUUGGGAUAACUUCAGGAAACUGGGGCUAAUACCGGAUAGGAGCUCCUGCUGCAUGGUGGGGGUUGGAAAGUUUCGGCGGUUGGGGAUGGACUCGCGGCUUAUCAGCUUGUUGGUGGGGUAGUGGCUUACCAAGGCUUUGACGGGUAGCCGGCCUGAGAGGGUGACCGGCCAAAUUGGGACUGAGAUGAGGCCCAGACUCCUACGGGAGGCAGCAGUGGAGAAUAUUGCACAAUGGGCGGAAGCCUGAUGCAGCAAAGCCGCGUGCGGGAUGACGGCCUUCGGGUUGUAAACCGCUUUCGCCUGUGACGAAGCGUGAGUGACGGUAAUGGGUAAAGAAGCACCGGCUAACUACGUG
rnacentral:rRNA from 1 species